AACAGGUCUAUAAAAUUAGUGUUUUGUAACCAAUUUCUUGUAUGUAAGGUGGUGUAUCGGUUGUGACUAGUUAGACACGCAAAAGUUCCGGUUUAUAAUACUUGGUUUUACGUUUUGAGAUUGACGGUUCAAAUAUCAAUUGGAAUCUUGCAUGUUUUAUGACAUCUUUGUGCCAGCAGUCACAGUGCUAACCUCCCCAGGGGCUGAGAGAGACCAGGUCGAGAGUAGCUUAUACUCCGACGGUCAGCUACAGAUCAGUUUCAACGCUCGUAUAUUUAUUAUAAAUCCACUCAAUAAACUUGUAACUGUCA